rnacentral:tRNA from 1 species
GGGGAUGUAGCUCAGUUGGCAGAGCACCGCCUCGGCAGGGCGGGGGCCAGGGGUUCGAGUCCCCUCUUCUCCA